UGAUCUAGACCAGACGGCGUCGUUUGCUAAUCUCAAAGCCAGACAGGCGGAUAGUUAAGUGCAUAUGUAGGUAUGAAGAUAUGUAGAUACGCAGCAACUACCGAGAUACAAUCAUAUUUUGGGGGAACCACAAAAGGCACUUAACCGAUUUGACGAAAACAGGUGUUGGGAUGAUGAGGUUCGUUAACUCGGGGUGAUUCACUCCGUUGUCUUGUCUACGCCGCAAAAACAAAACGGAGAAGUUUAUCGCCGCUUCCAAGAGGCUAAGGCUGCUGCUAUUUCGACAGCGUUAUUUAUAGCAAAUGCCUUUAAAUAAAUGGGUGUUUACCCCGCGGCCAUCCGUUAGUUAAUGUCCCGGGAAAAUGUCAAGCCAAAGUUGCGAAAAUUGAUUGGAACACGGAACACAGUCGACGGAGGCCUAAUGUAUAUGGUAUAUGGCUAAUCGGGCAAUUAAUUGAAUACGAUAGAUAGAGAUCGAUGAUCAGGCAAAGAUCGCGGGAUGAGUAAGCGAAAAACAAUGGCCUUAUCAGCGAGUGGAAAAAACUUAGCAAAUAUGGCAAGGAAAACUUUGGGGAAACCGCAAUAAAAGCAAGUACGACGCAAAACUAGCCUCCCCACUCCCUGCAUGCUCCACAUUAGUAGGAGGUUCUGUUUGCAUACACAUAUGUGUGUGUGUGUACAUAUGUACAUAUGAGCGUAUAUAAGGUGAACUGAAACUGGGUCAACGACAGCGAAUAACGCGGACAGACAGAGGAAGGGACUGAGAACCGAACUGAAAUGUAACUGAAACAUCUGCAACUGCGCCGGAGGAAUUCCGUGCUACUUUGUCCGGAGCUUCUCAGUGCGUUGCCCAAAGCAAAUUUGAUUAGCAAGUCGAGCCAAAACUCAAACACGCAUUAAAAUCACCUGCCAGCUGUUCUGUCACACAAAGGCAAUCAAACGAGAUCUACGAUAGUAAAACAGCUGACACAAAAGAUACAUUCAGACCAUUACAAAAGAUACAUUCGAAGCGUUUUUGGACUUUACGAGUAAAACUGACGCCGGUCUGUUGAAUUUGGCAACUCUCAAAACAAGCGAGGCGAUAGCGUAUUAAGUUCUCAGCUGCCGAGACAGCAAAGUUCAUUGGGCCCUGUUCCCAAUUCCAUUUCGAUGAGAUUUGCGGGGAAUACGUUUUGAAUGUUUAUAUGCAUAAAAAGCUUAUAAACGAAAACAUGGAACUUGUAUAUUUAUCCUAUUUGGAUCGUUUUUAAAUUUAAUGGAAUCUUUUUAAGAGGAUUACCUUUUCUUUGAGCUACAUUGCUUUGAACUUUUGAACCACUUAAAAUGAGAUUGGUGUUUUUCUUGCGUGCAAAAAGCAGAGUUGCAAAUCAUUUGGGAAAUUCAACUCGAUCGCGCACACGUCCGUUCCGAGCGAAGUUUGUAAAACAAUUGAACGAAGCGAGCGACGUUUCCCAGAAAGAGGUACACGGUACGAUGGCUAGAGUGGGACGACUGCAGGCACCGCGACACUUGUUCGCCCGCACAGCGGCUGUCUGUGUGAGUAUAAGCGAGUCAGAUAGUAGAGCCGAUGCGCUCUCCAGAUACUUUGUGAACAGCUCGUGCACUGAAGAAAACGGGCGGUUGUUGGUAAAUUCAGUUAAUUUUAAAACCCUAAUAAAAUACUAACCUUAACAUAUUAAGAACGAAUUCGAACAUAUCGAAGGCUUGAAAUAUUUAUACUUGGAUGGCACCCACACAAAUCUAAUAAAAUUUAGAAACUA
rnacentral:misc_RNA from 13 species